CAGCCGCCGCGGUAAUACCGGCGGCCCGAGUGGCGGCCACUAUUUUUGGGCUUAAAGCGUCCGUAGCCGGGUUGGUUAGUCUCCCGGGAAAUCUGGCCGCUUAACGGUCAGAAUUCCGGGAGAUACUGCCAGCCUAGGGACCGGGAGAGGCCGAGGGUAUUCCCGGAGUAGGGGUGAAAUCCUAUAAUCCCGGGAGGACCACCUGUGGCGAAGGCGCUCGGCUGGAACGGGUCCGACGGUGAGGGACGAAGGCCAGGGGAGCAAACCGGAUUAGAUACCCGGGUAGUCCUGGCUGUAAACGAUGCGGACUUUGUGUCGGACAAGCUAUGAGCUUGUCCGGUGCCGGAGGGAAACCGUUAAGUCCGCCGCCUGGGGAGUACGGCCGCAAGGCUGAAACUUAAAGGAAUUGGCGGG
rnacentral:rRNA from 1 species